rnacentral:rRNA from 1 species
GCCAACGGCCAUACCACGUUGAACACGCCAGUUCUCGUCCGAUCACUGAAGUUAAGCAACGUCGGCCCGGUUAGUACUUGGAUGGGUGACCGCCUGGAAUCCUGGGUGCUGUUGGUA